rnacentral:lncRNA from 1 species
GUUAAAAAAUAAGAAACCGAAAAUCAAGAUGGUAACCAUGACAGUGCUAUUGAAGAAUGUUUUGGAGGAGAGAUAGAAUAUUGCCCAUCUGCUACAAUCACGUGUGAAAAACAAAAAUACAUGGUCCAUUAUUAAAGAGUCAGCUUAUGAAAAUGAAUGAAAACAGUUGAAAUGACUAUGGAUCACGUAACAAGAAAAAAUAAACAACUAAUAAUUUCCUCUUCCCCCAAUGAGUAGUAUUUACAAUAAAUAUCAGUGAUAACUAUAAAUUGCAUAUGCCGAAGCACCAAACAUAACUUCUACUAGCUCACGCCAUUUUAACAGCUUUAUUCCAAAUAGGGUUGAUAAUUAUUUACUCUGACAGGAUCAACAUAACUCAUUCCCAAUCAAUUUCAAAUAUGAACAUAUACGUCAUAGCCAAUUAACAAACAAUAAAACAUUGAAUAAAAACGUGGAGAAGGGAGAUUGGAAUUUCCAAAAUUCUUAUGAGGCUUUAAUUAAGUCCACUGGGUGCUCGGAAUUAUCAAAUCAUUUCUACAUUUCCAUUCUAAGGGGAAAAAAUAAUUCACCUUCAAUGUUCAAAAGCACUAGGAUAAACCUUACUCUUCAUUAAUAAUACCAUUUAUAACUAGCCCUUGAUUGGGAAGAAAAUCAGACCAAUGUUCUAAAUCUCGUUUUAUUUCAAAUAUAUAAUUUGUGAUUUUUUCAAGAUAAAGAAAGAGAUG